rnacentral:rRNA from 1 species
AACGAACGCUGGCGGCAUGCCUAACACAUGCAAGUCGAACGAGACCUUCGUGUCUAGUGGCGCACGUGUGCGUAACGCGUGGGAACCUGCCCUUAGGUUCGGAAUCACUCCCCGUAAGGGGUGCUAAUACCGGUUAAUGUAUUCGGACCAAAGAGUUAUCGCCUUUGGAUGGGGCCGCGUUGGUUUAGCUGGUUGGUAGGGUAAAAGCCUAGCAACGCGAGGUUGCAUAGCUGGUCUGAGAGGAUGACCAGCCACACUGGGCCUGAGACACGGCCCAGACUGCUACGGGAGGGAGCAGUGGGGAAUAUUGGACGAUGGGCGAAAGCCUGAUACAGCAAUGCCGCGUGAGUGAUGAAGGCCUUAGGGUUGUAAAGCUCUUUUACCCGGGAUGAUAAUGACAGUACCGGGAGAAUAAGCUCCGGCUAACUCCGUG